GACGAACGCUGGCGGCGUGCCUAAUACAUGCAAGUCGAACGCUUCUUUUUCACCGAGUGCUUGCACUCACCGAAAAAGAGGAGUGGCGGACGGGUGAGUAACACGUGGGUAACCUGCCCAUUAGAGGGGGAUAACACUUGGAAACAGGUGCUAAUACCGCAUAAUUCUUUUUGCCGCAUGGCAGAGAGAUGAAAGACGCUUUCGGGUGUCACUAAUGGAUGGACCCGCGCUGCAUUAGUUAGUUGGUGGGGUAAUGGCUACCAAGACCGUGAUGCAUAGCCGACCUGAGAGGGUGAUCGGCCACACUGGACUGGGACACGGCCCAGACUCCUACGGGAGGCAGCAGUGGGGGAUAUUGCACAAUGGGGGAAACCCUGAUGCAGCGACGCCGCGUGAGUGAAGACGG
rnacentral:rRNA from 1 species